ensembl:lncRNA
CAUCCCUCCAUCCCAAAAAACCUGCUGCCAGAGAAAUCGCUGUGUCGCAGCACCUGCCUUUUUGUCUAUUGACGCUGUCCUCCUCCCUCAGCGCCUCACAUCUCCAGCAGAAAGGAGCUGCUCAACUCUGUGUGAAACUUUCUGAGACGGAUCCGCAGCACAAUUACCACCAGAUACCGAAGGCCCGAUGUGCUCAGGGCGAACUUCUUAUCACUCUUCCCUUAGAGAAGACAUGAACCGGAGAAAGCUUCCACAUCAAAGAAGGCGGAGCCCCAGAGCCACGCCCACUUAUUACAUCAGCAGCACGGACCAAUGGUAGUUCAGGGGUGUUUACCAGCCAGAGCGUUUCAAACUUGAAAAUGAACUUUGUUUUUGGCCGGUUUUUAAAUGAAAAGAUGUCACACCAGUUUUUCAUUCUUUGAUUUCAGUUUGUGUCAAAUAAGGUUUAUAUCAACUGCGCUUCAUGUGAACCUGAGCUGAAACCCCUUCAAAAGAUACUAAUAUGUACACUUUAGCUGCUAAUAUGUAGUCUAAUAUGUACAUCUAGAUGUGAAUAAGGUACAAAGAUGCACCUUCCAGCUUUCUUUUGAACCGUUCGUGAUCAUGUUAUCUGAUGGGUGACUCUUUCACAAACGCACGACUGUACAAAAGCAGGUCACCUUACUCUGCAAGACACCUUCUGAGUGUGAGCGCUGACGAGCCCUCAAUAGACGACGCCUUAUCUGCAGCUCCAGCACAAGAGAUGGAACGCUGCCCUCCAUCCCGGAUUACUCAAAUUCAAUACUCAUUCUCCAUGCCGCCCUCCUCUUCUCCGGCAUCAGCGCCUUUCAAAAGGGAGCCAUUCAUGUCCCUAAUGAGAUUACGAGAGACGAGUGGAAACCAACAUUUCCAGGGAUUGUUGUUGGAGGGGUCUGUGGUUCUAACACCUGUCAUUGGCAUCGAUCUGGAGCUCACUAUAUCUCAGAGGGCCGAGAGUCGCUGACCGCCAUCGAUCAGCCAUUUGUAUGCAUGGGAACGUGCGAGGGCUGUUCUUUUAGUGAGGGUAAAAUUGGUUUUGGACGUGUGUGGGUGUCGCUGUGUCAUUAGGGGCUCGCUGCUGACUCUCCUGCCCACGCUCUGAGAUCUCGUCCUGUGAAGAACAGCAUAAUCCUCCUGGGCCCAGUCAAAAAUGGAUGGAUGGUGGGUGGAUGGAGUAGUGAAAUCCGUGGAGGAGGAUGUAGAGACGUGCAGCUCGAUGCGCAGCAGAACUUUGGGCCAUCAAAGCGGUUGGUAAUGGGUGAAGGAGGAGCAGGAACGCAGCGAUGGGACGGAAAUAGAAAACACGCAUGUUAGCGUGAACAAUUCUCUUCACUGACGGUUAAUUACCUGCUGAGAUUCCCGAAGAGCAGCUGCUGUCAUCUGGACGUCUCUCUUCAGCCCCGGUCACUUCACACACCGGUCCUCCAUGCGUCCUUCACACAGCGCCAGCAGAGGUCUUUCAGAUGGACCUUCAUCCUUUCAUGUGGAUCUUUUCAUCUUCCUCACGCUCUUUGAAGAACAAACCUCCUGCUUUCAUGAGCAACUCGAAAAAAACAUAAACAUGCAAACCAUCAGACCGGCUUUCAUGUGUUUGCUGUUGCUCCAUCUCCACUUCACAAUAUAUAAAUAUUGAUAAUAUAUUAAACAUUCAAAAAAUAUAAUAUAAAACGUUCAAAAUAUAAAAUAAAAUAUAUACUGAAAUAGAAAAAAAAACAAGCAUUACUGUCUUUAUAUGAUUUGUUUUAGCACCAAUCUCCAAUUUAUUAAUAUAUAUGUGUCACAGUAUGUGUGUCCAAGAUAAACUCUCUCAUGAAGAUGAAGGAAAAACAUGUCUUUUAAUAAAUCAACACAGGGUGAAUCACAGGAGCAGCAUUCACAACAAUGGACGAGGGACAACUGAGCGGGCCAGAACUAAAGCUGUGCUAAUGAGGGACAGACAGGUGAGGAGGGUCAGCUAAUGAGGACACAGCUGAACUGACCAACACAAUCAAUCACUGGGAAACAGAACAGCAGGAAUGAAAACCAGGUCACUCAAACUGUUUUGAAAACUCCUGCCAGGGAGAAGAUUUUCAGAAACUCUGUUUGCAGUGUUAUCAUGUAGACAGCGAAACUGGAGAUUUUGGCUUGUGACAUUUGAGCAUGCGCUGUUAUCUCCUCCUACUGGAAACUUUUUCAGGCUUCUGAUUGGCCAACAUGGCUUUAGGGUGGAGAUUAUAUGUUACAUAUAUAUUAUAUCGCCACCUGUUGGUUUGACCUGCUCUUUACAGUGCAUCAUAGCAUGCGUUUGCACUUUCAUGUGGACGGAAAUUUUUUUAAAAACGGAAGGAAAAACUCAAUUUAUAAAAAAAAGUCAGUCAAAGUCAGAGAGGCUUUAUUAUCAUUUCAGCUCUAUACAGCUACGAAACAGCGUUUCUCCAGGACCAUGGUGCUACACAAGACAACAUUAACUACAAAACUCACAUUGUACUUUGCAAAGGACUAUACAUAAUUAAAUUAUCUUAAAUAAUCUAACAUAAUACUAAAACUGGAAGAAGAAGAAGAAGAAGUAAAAGUAAAAAAGUUGAACAUAAAGCAAAGUACAGACUACAUAAAGUGCGUCUGCAUGUCUGAAUGAAACAUGAAUGGGACAUUACAAUAUAUGUAUAUAUACAUAUAUAAACAUAUACAUAUUUUUAUACAUAGAACAGGUCACAAUAUUAAUAGACAAGGCACAAUAUUGAGGUAGAUUCAUGCAAAUGUCCGGACAUGCAAAGUAUGCAGUUGGGUUCCAAGUGUUUGUAAUUCAAGUAUUUAUAGUAGGGGUGUACAUGUGUGAGUGUAGUUGUCAGGUCAGUUCUCAUGGAGUUGAGGAGUCUGAUGACUCGAGGGAAGAAACUGUCACACUAUCUGACCGUGAGGGCCUGAAUGCUUCUGUAGCUUCUUCUGGAUGGCAGAAGGGUGAAGAGCUGGUGUGAGGGGUUUGUAGGGUCGCUAGUAAUCGUGAUGGCUUUCGGAAUGCAGCGAGUGGUGUAAACGUCUGUGAUAGAGGGGAGAGAGACUCCAAUGAUCUUUUCAGCUGUCCUCACGAUCCGCUGCAGGGUCUUGCGAUCUGUGAUGGUGCAAUUCCCAAACCAGGUAGUGAUGCAGGUGCUCAGUCCCUUUGUAAAAUGUGGUGAGGAUGGGGGGUGGGAGAUGUGCUUUCUUCAGUCUGCAUAAAAAGUAAAGAGGCUGCUGAGCUUUCUUUGCUAUGGAGCUGGUGUUGAGAGACCAGGUGAAGUUCUCAAGUCAGAUGAACAACAAUGAAUUUGGUGCUCUUUGCGAUCUCCAAAGAGGAGCCGUCGAUGUUCAGUGGAGAGUGAUUGGUAUGUGAUCUCCUAAACUCAACAACCAUCUCUUUAGUUUUGUCCACGUUCAGGGACAGGUUGUUGACACCAAUCCGCUAGCCGAAGCACCUUCUCUCUGUACGCUGAUUCGUCGCCUUUGCUUAUAAGACCCACCACGGCCGUGUCAUCAGCAAACUUGAUGAUGUGG